UACGUAGGGGGCAAGCGUUGUCCGGAUUUAUUGGGCGUAAAGAGCGUGUAGGCGGCCAGACAGGUCCGUUGUGAAAACUAGAUGCUUAACCUCUAGACGUCGAUGGAAACCGUCUGGCUAGAGUCCGGAAGAGGAGAAUGGAAUUCCUGGUGUAGCGGUGAAAUGCGCAGAUAUCAGGAAGAACACCCGUGGCUAAGGCGGUUCUCUAGUACGGUACUGACGCUGAGACGCGAAAGCGUGGGGAGCGAACAGG
rnacentral:rRNA from 1 species